rnacentral:rRNA from 1 species
GCCUACACCAUUUGACCUUGGAAACAAAACAGGGUAAGUUCUGGCUAGUACUUGGAUGGGAGACUGCCAGUGAAUACUAGAUGAUGUAGGCU